GUCCCCAUCGUCUAGAGGCCUAGGACACCGCCCUUUCACGGCGAUAACAGGGGUUCGAAUCCCCUUGGGGACGCCA
rnacentral:tRNA from 2 species